rnacentral:rRNA from 1 species
AACGUAGGAGACAAGCGUUAUCCGGAGUUACUGGGCGUAAAGGGCGUGCAGGCGGUUUGGUAAGUCUGGCGUGAAAUCAUUCGGCUUAACCGGGUGAUGUCGUCGGAGACUGCCAGACUAGAGGGUGAUAGAGGCGUGUGGAAUUCCGGGUGUAGUGGUGAAAUGCGUAGAGAUCCGGAGGAACACCAGUGGCGAAGGCGACACGCUGGGUCACACCUGACGCUAAGACGCGACAGCAUGGGGAGCGAACGGGAUUAGAUACCCUUGUAGU